CACGAAGAGGCCUCCAUCAGUCUUUCAACCUUGCCUAUCGUACCCUUUUUGUUGUUCCCUCGGCGGGGUAAAGCCCGCCGGCGGGAAGCUCGAAAAACCCUUUGCAAUCAGCAUCCAAAAACUCUGAUUACAAAACCUUAAAUCGUUA
rnacentral:misc_RNA from 1 species